rnacentral:rRNA from 1 species
CCCGGCGACCGGCGCACGGGUGAGUAACACGUAUGCAACCUGCCCUCUUCAGGGGGACAACCUUCCGAAAGGGAGGCUAAUCCCGCGUAUAUCGGUUUCGGGCAUCCGAGAUCGAGGAAAGAUUCAUCGGAAGAGGAUAGGGCAUGCGGCGCAUUAGCUAGACGGCGGGGUAACGGCCCACCGUGGCGACGAUGCGUAGGGGUUCUGAGAGGAAGGUCCCCCACACUGGUACUGAGACACGGACCAGACUCCUACGGGAGGCAGCAG